UACGUAGGGUGCGAGCGUUGUCCGGAAUUAUUGGGCGUAAAGGGCUCGUAGGCGGUUUGUCGCGUCGGGAGUGAAAACCCAGGGCUUAACUCUGGGCUUGCUUUCGAUACGGGCAGACUAGAGGCAUGCAGGGGAGAACGGAAUUCCUGGCGUAGCGGUGAAAUGCGCAGAUAUCAGGAGGAACACCGGUGGCGAAGGCGGUUCUCUGGGCAUGUCCUGACGCUGAGGAGCGAAAGUGUGGGGAGCGAACAGG
rnacentral:rRNA from 1 species